rnacentral:rRNA from 1 species
UAGGGAAUCUUCCACAAUGGACGCAAGUCUGAUGGAGCAACGCCGCGUGAGUGAAGAAGGUCUUCGGAUCGUAAAGCUCUGUUGUUAGAGAAGAACACGAGUGAGAGUAACUGUUCAUUCGAUGACGGUAUCUAACCAGCAAGUCACGGCUAACUACGUGUCAG